CUAUACAUGACUCUGCGCAUAUCAAUAAGCGGAGGAAAAGAAACUAACUAGGAUUCCCUCAGUAACGGCGAGUGAAGCGGGAAGAGCUCAAAUUUGAAAUCUUCAAGGUUCUACCUUGACGAAUUGUAGUUUAAAGAAGUGUUUUCUGUUGGAGUUUUGGUAAAAGUUCUUUGGAAUAGGACAUCAUAGAGGGUGAGAAUCCCGUAUUUGACCAUUAUUUCCAACUUUGUGAUACACUUUCAAAGAGUCGGAUUGUUUGGGAAUGCAGUCCAAAAUGGGUGGUAAAUUUCAUCUAAAGCUAAAUACUGGCGAGAGACCGAUAGCGAACAAGUACCGUGAGGGAAAGAUGAAAAGAACUUUGAAAAGAGAGUUAAACAGUACGUGAAAUUGUCAAAAGGGAAGCGUUUGACACCAGUGUUGUUUAGUUGAAAAUCAAUUUAAUAAUUUUUGAUUUUAAGUAGUAUUGACUUUAUCAGCUUGCUGCUUUUUUCUCGAAAAUUAUUGAAUGCACUUUUCAGUUAACAAGUCAACAUCAAUUUCUUUUGUUGUAAAAGGGUAAGAGGAAGGUGGCUUGCGCUUCGGCUCAAGUGUUUAUAGCCUUUUACCUCUGCAAUCGGAGAGAUUGAGGUCUGGAGCGUAGACUCUUCGGGGUUAGAUACACUUGUGCUAAGCUAUAGCCUUGUAUAGACAACUUGUUGACUAUGCUCAGUCAUGUAGCUUACUCGCUUAUGCUAUUUUACCUACGCUUAGGAUGUUGAAGAUAUGCGCGACACGACUCUAUACAUGACUCUGCGCAUAUCAAUAAGAGGAGGAAAAGUCAAUACCUACGCUUAGGAUGUUGAAGAUAUGCGCGACACG
rnacentral:rRNA from 1 species